AAAAAACAUGUAUUUAUGAUUUCUAAAAUAACUAUAAUGUCUUGUUUUUUUAUAAACGUGAAUUUGGUAAUCAUAAUCUGAUCAUGCCAAUCAAUACAUUGCUAGAUUAUAGAUUUCGACUUUGUAAUUUCAAAUGAAAAAUAAAAAAGAAAAAUCAUGCAAUAGGAUGGCAAAUGAACUUUCCUUUGUAAAGAUCAAAAUCUGACACUAAUAAUCCACAAUCAUUUAGGAUGUUUUGGCUCAAUACAAAGAGGAAACAUACUUGUCAAAUGGCAGA
rnacentral:misc_RNA from 1 species